GGGACAACAGUUGGAAACGACUGCUAAUACCGCAUAAGCCCACGACCCGGCAUCGGGUUGAGGGAAAAGGAGCAAUCCGCUUUGAGAUGGCCUCGCGUCCGAUUAGCUAGUUGGUGAGGUAACGGCCCACCAAGGCAACGAUCGGUAGCCGGACUGAGAGGUUGAACGGCCACAUUGGGACUGAGACACGGCCCAGACUCCUACGGGAGGCAGCAGUGGGGAAUAUUGCACAAUGGGGGAAACCCUGAUGCAGCGACGCCGCGUGGAGGAAGAAGGUCUUCGGAUUGUAAACUCCUGUUGUUGAGGAAGAUAAUGACGGUACUCAACAAGGAAGUGACGGCUAACUACGUGCCAGCAGCCGCGGUAAAACGUAGGUCACAAGCGUUGUCCGGAAUUACUGGGUGUAAAGGGAGCGCAGGCGGGAAGACAAGUUGGAAGUGAAAUCCAUGGGCUCAACCCAUGAACUGCUUUCAAAACUGUUUUUCUUGAGUAGUGCAGAGGUAGGCGGAAUUCCCGGUGUAGCGGUGGAAUGCGUAGAUAUCGGGAGGAACACCAGUGGCGAAGGCGGCCUACUGGGCACCAACUGACGCUGAGGCUCGAAAGUGAGGGUAGCAAACAGGAUUAGAUACCCUGGUAGUCCACACCGUAAACGAUGAUUACUAGGUGUUGGAGGAUUGACCCCUUCAGUGCCGCAG
rnacentral:rRNA from 1 species